CAGUCGCCGCGGUAAUACGGAGGAUCCAAGCGUUAUCCGGAUUUAUUGGGUUUAAAGGGUGCGUAGGUGGCCUGUUAAGUCAGGGGUGAAAGACGGUAGCUUAACUAUCGCAGUGCCCUUGAUACUGAUGGGCUUGAAUGAACUAGAGGUAGGCGGAAUGUGACAAGUAGCGGUGAAAUGCAUAGAUAUGUCACAGAACACCAAUUGCGAAGGCAGCUUACUAUGGUUUUAUUGACACUGAGGCACGAAAGCGUGGGGAGCAAACAGGAUUAGAUACCCCGGUAGUCCCUGUCUCUUAUAA
rnacentral:rRNA from 1 species